CAUGCACGUGUAAGUGCAAGCCAGCACAAGGUGAAACCGCGAAUGGCUCAUUAAAUCAGUCAUGAUUCAUUGGAUGAUGACCACGUUACUUGGAUAACUGUGGUAAUUCUAGAGCUAAUACAUGCAAACACAGUGCCCGACCCUCACGGGAAGGGACGCUUUUAUUAGAUCAAAAUCAAUGCGGUCGUUCGGCCUCGGUCGGGCGGCUGGUUGUUCUUGGUGACUCUGAAUAAAGGAAGGGAUCGCACGGUCCAGCACCGGCGACGCAUCCUUCAAAUGUCUGCCUUAUCAACUGUCGAUGGUAGGCUCCUUGCCUACCAUGGUUGUAACGGGUAACGGGGAAUCAGGGUUCGAUUCCGGAGAGGGAGCCUGAGAAACGGCUACCACAUCCAAGGAAGGCAGCAGGCGCGCAAAUUACCCACUCCCGGCACGGGGAGGUAGUGACGAAAAAUAACGAUGCGGGACUCAUCCGAGGCCCCGUAAUCGGAAUGAGGACACUUUAAAUCCUUUACCGAGUACCUAUUGGAGGGCAAGUCUGGUGCCAGCAGCCGCGGUAAUUCCAGCUCCAAUAGCGUAUAUUAAAGUUGUUGCGGUUAAAAAGCUCGUAGUUGGACUUGUGUCCCGCGCUGCCGGUUCGCCGCCCGUCGGCGUUCAACUGGCAUGUCGCGGGGACGUCCUGCCGGCGGCCCGCGGCCCGGCGGUGUGCGAGGUGGCCUUCUGGCUCCGUACGACGGGGGUCCGCCCCCGCGCCCGGCGGAUGUUGUCGGCUCGCUGAGUCCCGCCGUGUGCCAAGGGCCCUUGACUAGCCGUUGGGGUGCUCUUAACCGAGUGUCUCGAUGGGCCGGCACGUUUACUUUGAACAAAUUAGAGUGCUCAACGCAGGCCAUGCUGUGCCGUUGAAUAUCUGUGCAUGGAAUAAUGGAAGAGGACCUCGCCUCCAGUUUGUUGGUUUUCGGAAGGCGAGGUAAUGAUUAAGAGGGACUGACGGGGGCAUUCGUAUUGCGACGUUAGAGGUGAAAUUCUUGGAUCGUCGCAAGACGGACCGAAGCGAAAGCAUUUGCCAAGGAUGUUUUCAUUAAUCAAGAACGAAAGUUAGAGGUUCGAAGGCGAUCAGAUACCGCCCUAGUUCUAACCAUAAACGAUGCCAGCUGGCGAUCCGCCCAAGUUCCUCCGAUGACUAGGCGGGCAGCCCCCCCGGGAAACCUAAGCUUUUGGGUUCCGGGGGAAGUAUGGUUGCAAAGCUGAAACUUAAAGGAAUUGACGGAAGGGCACCACCAGGAGUGGAGCCUGCGGCUUAAUUUGACUCAACACGGGAAACCUCACCAGGCCCGGACACUGGAAGGAUUGACAGAUUGAGAGCUCUUUCUUGAUUCAGUGGGUGGUGGUGCAUGGCCGUUCUUAGUUGGUGGAGCGAUUUGUCUGGUUAAUUCCGAUAACGAACGAGACUCUGGCCUACUAACUAGUCGCGGGCCGCGCUCGGUUGGUCCCCGGCCGGCGGCGGAUUUCUUGUUCGUGCGUACCUCCGGGUCGUGCGGGCGGGUGCCGUUGUCCGCGUCGGGCCUCCGGGUUGUCGGUCCAGCCCGGUAUCAGCCGCAAGGAUAGCUACCGGCGCAAUUCAAAUCUUCUUAGAGGGACAGGCGGCUUCUAGCCGCACGAGAUUGAGCAAUAACAGGUCUGUGAUGCCCUUAGAUGUUCUGGGCCGCACGCGCGCUACACUGAAGGAAUCAGCGUGUCUUAUCCCUGCCCGAGAGGGCCGGGUAACCCGUUGAACCUCCUUCGUGCUAGGGAUUGGGGCUUGCAAUUGUUCCCCAUGAACGAGGAAUUCCCAGUAAGUGCGAGUCAUAAGCUCGCGUUGAUUACGUCCCUGCCCUUUGUACACACCGCCCGUCGCUACUACCGAUUGAAUGAUUUAGUGAGGUCUUCGGAACGGUGCGCGGCGGUCCUCCGGGUUUCGCUCGCGUCGCUGUGAAGAUGACCGAACUUGAUCAUUUAGAGGAAGUAAAAGUCGUAACAAGGUUUCC
rnacentral:rRNA from 1 species